AGCCUGAACGCUGGCGGCGUGGCUAAGACAUGCAAGUCGUACGGAGGUAGCAAUACCUCAGUGGCGAACGGGUGAGUAAUGAAUCGUUAACGUGCCCCGGACUCUGGGAUAGCCGGUCGAAAGGCCGGGUAAUACCAGAUGAUAUACCUUUAUCGCAUGAUAGAGGUCUCAAAGGUCCGCCGGUCUGGGAGCGGGCGAUUUCGUAUCAGCUAGUUGGUGAGGUAACGGCUCACCAAGGCGACGACGCGUAGCCGGACUGAGAGGUUGGCCGGCCACAUUGGGACUGAGACACUGCCCAGACUCCUACGGGGGCUGCAGUAACGAAUCUUCCGCAAUGCACGAAAGUGUGACGGAGCGGCGCCGCGUGUGGGACGAAGCCCUUCGGGGUGUAAACCACUGUCAGAGGAAAGAAAGUUCUGAUCUACCUCAGAGGAAGAGGCGGCUAACUCUGCGCCAGCAGCCGC
rnacentral:rRNA from 1 species